AGAAUCAACGCUGGCGGCGUGCCUAACACAUGCAAGUCGAACGAGAAAGGGGUAGCAAUACCCUGAGUAGAGUGGCGCACGGGUGAGUAACACGUGACUAACCUACCCUUGAGUGGGGGAUAACUGAGGGAAACCUUAGCUAAUACCGCAUAAUACCCACGGGUCAAAGGAGCAAUUCGCUCGAGGAGGGGGUCGCGGCCGAUUAGUUAGUUGGCGGGGUAAUGGCCCACCAAGACGAUGAUCGGUA
rnacentral:rRNA from 1 species